rnacentral:rRNA from 1 species
GACGAACGCUGGCGGCGUGCUUAACACAUGCAAGUCGAACGGUAAGGCCCUUCGGGGUACACGAGUGGCGAACGGGUGAGUAACACGUUGGUGAUCUGCCCUGCACUUCGGGAUAAGCCUGGGAAACUGGGUCUAAUACCGGAUAGGACCACUGCCUGCAUGGGUGGUGGUGGAAAGCUUUUGCGGUGUGGGAUGGGCCCGCGGCCGAUCAGCUUGUUGGUGGGGGGAUGGCCUACCAAGGCGACGAAGGGUAGCCGGCCUGAGAGGGUGACCGGCCACACUGGGACUGAGAUACGGCCCAGACUCCUACGGGAGGCAGCAGUGGGGAAUAUUGCACAAUGGGCGCAAGCCUGAUGCAGCGACGCCGCGUGAGGGAUGACGGCCUUCGGGUUGUAAACCUCUUUCAGCACCGACGAAGCGCAAGUGACGGUAGGUGCAGAAGAAGGACCGGCCAACUACGUGCCAGCCGCCGCGGUAA